GCCCUCGUAGCUCAGGGGAUAGAGCAGCAGUUUCCUAAACUGCGUGUCGUGCGUUCGAGUCGCACCGGGGGCGCCA
rnacentral:tRNA from 6 species